AUGAGGCACUAUUUUGUGGAGAAUCCCACAUACCCGGAGUCGUACUUCCGUCGCCGGUUUAGGAUGAGCACCGAGUUGUUCAGGCGCAUUGCAGAGAAACUAGCGAGCCAUGACCGGUUUUUUCAGCAAAGGAGGAAUGCCGCCGGAGAGCUCGGGCAUAGCACCUUUCAGAAGGUGACAGUCGCCACUACAAAAAAAAGACACAUCCGUGACAUUUUGGGCCGAACGAAUUUUUUUUCUAUCAUACAUAUGACACUUCUAUGA
rnacentral:rRNA from 1 species